AGUGAACGCUGGCGGUAGGCCUAACACAUGCAAGUCGAACGGCAGCACAGUAAGAGCUUGCUCUUACGGGUGGCGAGUGGCGGACGGGUGAGGAAUACAUCGGAAUCUACUUUUUCGUGGGGGAUAACGUAGGGAAACUUACGCUAAUACCGCAUACGACCUACGGGUGAAAGCAAGGGGUCUUCGGACCUUGCGCGAUUGAAUGAGCCGAUGUCGGAUUAGCUAGUUGGCGGGGUAAAGGCCCACCAAGGCGACGAUCCGUAGCUGGUCUGAGAGGAUGAUCAGCCACACUGGAACUGAGACACGGUCCAGACUCCUACGGGAGGCAGCAGUGGGGAAUAUUGGACAAUGGGCGCAAGCCUGAUCCAGCCAUACCGCGUGGGUGAAGAAGGCCUUCGGGUUGUAAAGCCCUUUUGUUGGGAAAGAAAAGCAGCAGGUUAAUACCCCGCUGUUCUGACGGUACCCAAAGAAUAAGCACCGGCUAACUUCGUG
rnacentral:rRNA from 1 species